GCGGAGGAAAAGAAACCCACCGGGAUUGCCUCAGUAACGGCGAGUGAAGCGGCAAGAGCUCAAAUUUGAAAGCUGGCUCCUUCGGGGUCCGCAUUGUAAUUUGCAGAGGAUGCUUCGGGUGCGGCCCCUGUCUAAGUGCCCUGGAACGGGCCGUCAGAGAGGGUGAGAAUCCCGUCUGGGAUGGGGUGUCCGCGCCCGUGUGAAGCUCCUUCGACGAGUCGAGUUGUUUGGGAAUGCAGCUCUAAAUGGGUGGUAAAUUUCAUCUAAAGCUAAAUACUGGCCGGAGACCGAUAGCGCACAAGUAGAGUGAUCGAAAGAUGAAAAGCACUUUGAAAAGAGAGUUAAAAAGCACGUGAAAUUGUUGAAAGGGAAGCGCUUGCGACCAGACUCGCCUCCGGGGUUCAGCCGGCAUUCGUGCCGGUGUACUUCCCUGGGGGCGGGCCAGCGUCGGUUUGGGCGGCCGGUCAAAGGCUCCCGGAAUGUAGUGCCCUCCGGGGCACCUUAUAGCCGGGAGUGCAAUGCGGCCAGCCUGGACCGAGGAACGCGCUUCGGCACGGACGC
rnacentral:rRNA from 1 species